rnacentral:rRNA from 1 species
AACGAACGCUGGCGGCAUGCCUAACACAUGCAAGUCGAACGAGACCUCCGUGUCUAUUGGCGCUGGUGGGCGGAACGCCUGGGAACCUGCCCUUAAGUUCGGAAUAACUCCCCGAAUGGGAUUCUAAUACCGGAUAAUGUCUUCGGACUAAAGACUCAUCGCCCUUGGAUGGGCCCGGGUUGGAUUAGCUGGUUGGGAGGGUAAACGCCGACCAAGGCGACGAUCCUUAGCUGGUCAGAGAGGAUGCUCAGCCACAAUGGGGCUGAGACACGGCCCAGAACUGUACGUGAGGCAGCAGUGUGUGAUACUGGACAAUGGGCGAAAGCCUGAUGCAGCCACGCUGGGUAAGUGCUCAAGGCCUUAGGGUUCUAAAGCUCUUUUACACGGGAUGAUAAUGACAGUACCCGGAGAAUAAGCUCCGGCUAACUUCGUG